GCAGCUCACUUGUUUUUAAAAAUGGCCUUGGUCAAUGCCAGGUCUGGUCUAAUAAGACUUUUAUUUUAAAUGACUUUUUUUUUACCUGUCAUGACUUGGAUUUCCUAUUUUUAACUGAGACGUGGACUGGUGUUGUUUGCUGAAACCUAUCAGAAAAAUGCCCUUGCAACCUCAAUCACUGCUGAGUUUCUUUCUACCCCAGUGUGAUAAGAUUGAGUUCGUGGGCAGUGGAGGAGACAGGAGACAACAAAACAGGUUCAAGACAUCCUAAAACAAAAUCUCAACAGUGGUUGGACGACCAUACUCAUUCUCUUUGACAGGCUUGUCACAAAGCUGAGCGGAGAUGGAGGAAAGAUCACUACACUGUCUCAUUUGAGAUUUUUAAAAAUUGCCUGGUGAAUUUUCAGAAUGUGGCCAAGAAAGCCAGGGCUAAAUCUUUUUCAGAUUUAAUCAGCAAACAUUGUCAUAGACCUAAAAUUUUGUUUACAAAUAUAAAUUCAAUAAUUAAUCCUCGUCUUUUGUGUACUGUCAUUUGUGAAAAGUUUUUCAUUGAUAAAACUGAGAAUAUUCUAUCUAC